ACAGCUGCCAUCUGUCCAGGGGGCCACGAUUAGGGAUGCAUUUAACCCCACAACCAUCUGAAAGGAGCCGCUUUUUCUGCCACCAUGUUUUAAAAUUCAUCCACAUUAAACUUCAUAAAUCCCCAUGACAAAAAUCUUCUGGUGGCCAGGGAGCUUGAACAUGGCUGCGCGGAGGGUCUCAAUCACCUGCCCCUUGUUCUGCAGCUUGGUGCGGGUGGACAUUACGACUUGGCCCAUGUGGACCCUGGCCACCGCACCCUGGCACUUUCCAGAGGCACUGCGCACACCUGUCUGGAGCCUGUCAGAUCCGAUCAGCUCCAGUGCGGACAAUGUCUUAUGGAUGCAGGUGAUGUGGAUGGGGUGGAGCUGCACGCAGAUACGAGAGCCAUCUUUGGCACAGCUUUUCACCAGCAUCCAAAGAUGCCUGGUUCCAGUUCUUGAACAUCUGUGUUCAGGAGUGUGCACUCAGGAGCUGGACAGUCUGGGUUGGAAUUCACACCUUGCCAGUUGUGAGUUGUGUGACUUCGGUGUCUCUGUGUCUUGGUUUCCUCAGUUGUCAACUGGGGAUAAUAACAGUGUCAGCUUCUUUGUAGGGUUGUUGUGA
ensembl:lncRNA